UCCCAAUGUGCUGGGCGCGAUUGACUGUACCCACGUGCAGAUCAGACCGCCACGGAAUUCAGAGGAAUGUUUUCGGAACCGAAAACAGUUCCAUUCCCUGAACGUGCAGGCGGUCUGUGAUGUAAACAUGAGAUUUUUGAACAUUUUUGUGGGAUUUCCUGGAUCAUCUCACGACUCCUUCAUCCUAAGCCAGUCAUCGCUGUUUGACAAGUUUGAAACAGGAAACAUGCCUGGUGGCUGGCUGUUAGGCGAUGCGGGUUAUCCAAACAAACCGUGGCUGUUGACCCCAUUGUCUAAUCCUGUUGGUAGAGCAGAAAAACGUUACCAAGAGACACACAUUGCAUCGAGGGGAGUAAUUGAGCGUGCCUUCGGUGUACUUAAAAGCCGGUUUCGAUGUUUAGACACUUCCGGCGGUGCUCUUUUGUACUCACCGUCGAAGGUUUGCGGCAUGGUAAAUGCAUGUUGUAUUUUACACAACAUAUGUGUCGCAAACCGUUUGCCGGUGACUCUUCGUCGCAGUGCUUUCCGACGCGGGAACCGGUCUUCUGCUCUACCGGUGGGUAUGGACGAAGGAGAGGAUUCCCGGCGGACAUUGAUCCAAAAUUAUUUUGCAGUUGCCUAGUUUUACAUCCUGUUGAUGUAUAUCCCCAGGCCAUGUUUGUACAGUUCGUUACCCCGUUUUAUCCUGUUGUUGGGUUCCCGCAAAUAUUUGAUCCUUUUAUCCAACUCUACCAUGGGUGAACCUACUGGUGAUGUGGACCUGACCCUCCGCCAUGUAGCAGACAACCCCCCUCAGGUCCUGCGAUGUAUCUUCCCAAGUGGCGUGGAUGUGAGGAGACACGACAUUUCACCUGAUGUUCCAUGGGUGACCCUACUGGUGAUGUGGACCUGACCCUCCGCCAUGUAGCAGACAACCCCCCUCAGGUCCUGCGAUGUAUCUUCCCAAGUGGCGUGGAUGUGAGGAGACACGACAUUUCACCUGAUGUUCCAUGGGUGACCCUACUGGUGAUGUGGACCUGACCCUCCGCCAUGUAGCAGACAACCCCCC